rnacentral:rRNA from 1 species
GACGAACGCUGGCGGCGUGCUUAACACAUGCAAGUCGAACGGAAAGGCCCUGCUUUUGUGGGGUUCUCGAGUGGCGAACGGGUGAGUAACACGUGAGUAACCUGCCCUUGACUUUGGGAUAACUUCAGGAAACUGGGGCUAAUACCGGAUAGGAGCUCCUGCUGCAUGGUGGGGGUUGGAAAGUUUCGGCGGUAGGGGAUGGACUCGCGGCUUAUCAGCUUGUUGGUUGGGUAGUGGCUUACCAAGGCUUUGACGGAUAGCCGGCCUGAGAGGGUGACCGGGCACAUUGGGACUGAGAUACGGAGCAGUCUCCUACGGGAGGCAGCAGUGGGGAAUAUUGCACAAUGGGCGGAAGCGUGAUGAAGCAACGCCGGGUGCGGGAUGACGGCCUUCGGGUUGUAAAACGCUUUCGCCUGUGACGAAGCGUGAGUGACGGUAAUGGGUAAAGAAGCACCGGCUAACUACGUG